GACGAACGCUGGCGGCGUGCCUAAUACAUGCAAGUUGAGCGCUGAAGGUUGGUACUUGUACCAACUGGAUGAGCAGCGAACGGGUGAGUAACGCGUGGGGAAUCUGCCUUUGAGCGGGGGACAACAUUUGGAAACGAAUGCUAAUACCGCAUAAAGACUUUAAACACAAGUUUUAAGUUUGAAAGAUGCAAUUGCAUCACUCAAAGAUGAUCCCGCGUUGUAUUAGCUAGUUGGUGAGGUAAAGGCUCACCAAGGCGAUGAUACAUAGCCGACCUGAGAGGGUGAUCGGCCACAUUGGGACUGAGACACGGCCCAAACUCCUACGGGAGGCAGCAGUAGGGAAUCUUCGGCAAUGGACGAAAGUCUGACCGAGCAACGCCGCGUGAGUGAAGAAGGUUUUCGGAUCGUAAAACUCUGUUGGUAGAGAAGAACGUUGGUGAGAGUGGAAAGCUCAUCAAGUGACGGUAACUACCCAGAAAGGGACGGCUAACUAC
rnacentral:rRNA from 1 species